ACGCUGGCGGCGUGCCUAAUACAUGCAAGUAGAACGCUGAAGCUUGGUGCUUGCACCGAGCGGAAGAGUUGCGAACGGGUGAGUAACGCGUAGGUAACCUGCCUCUUAGCGGGGGAUAACUAUUGGAAACGAUAGCUAAUACCGCAUAAAAGUCGGCAUUGCAUGAUGUUGACUUGAAAGGUGCAACUGCAUCACUAAGAGAUGGACCUGCGUUGUAUUAGCUAGUUGGUGAGGUAACGGCUCACCAAGGCGACGAUACAUAGCCGACCUGAGAGGGUGAUCGGCCACACUGGGACUGAGACACGGCCCAGACUCCUACGGGAGGCAGCAGUAGGGAAUCUUCGGCAAUGGACGGAAGUCUGACCGAGCAACGCCGCGUGAGUGAAGAGGGUUUUCGGAUCGUAAAGCUCUGUUGUAAGAGAAGAACGAGUGUGAGAGCGGAAAGUUCACACUGUGACGGUAACUUACCAGAAAGGGACGGCUAACUACGUGCCAGCAGCCGCGGUAAUACGUAGGUCCCGAGCGUUAUCCGGAUUUAUUGGGCGUAAAGCGAGCGCAGGCGGUUAGAUAAGUCUGAAGUUAAAGGCUGUGGCUUAACCAUAGUACGCUUUGGAAACUGUUUAACCUGAGUGCAGAAGGGGAGAGUGGAAUUCCAUGUGUAGCGGUGAAAUGCGUAGAUAUAUGGAGGAACACCGGUGGCGAAAGCGGCUCUCUGGUCUGUAACUGACGCUGAGGCUCGAAAGCGUGGGGAGCAAACAGGAUUAGAUACCCUGGUAGUCCACGCCGUAAACGAUGAGUGCUAGGUGUUGGGUCCUUUCCGGGACUCAGUGCCGCAGCUAACGCAUUAAGCACUCCGCCUGGGGAGUACGACCGCAAGGUUGAAACUCAAAGGAAUUGACGGGGGCCCGCACA
rnacentral:rRNA from 1 species